rnacentral:rRNA from 1 species
CCUACGGGAGGCAGCAGUGAGGAAUAUUGGUCAAUGGGCGCAAGCCUGAACCAGCCAAGUAGCGUGCAGGAUGAAGGCCCUACGGGUUGUAAACUGCUUUUGCACGGGGAUAACACCCUCCACUUGUGGCGGUCUGCAGGUACCGUGCGAAUAAGGGUCGGCUAACUCCGUGCCAGCAGCCGCGGUAAUACGGAGGAUCCGAGCGUUAUCCGGAUUUAUUGGGUUUAAAGGGAGCGUAGGUGGUUUGUUAAGUCAGUUGUGAAAGUUUGCGGCUCAACCGUAAAAUUGCAGUUGAAACUGGCAGUCUUGAGUACAGUAGAGGUAGGCGGAAUUCGUGGUGUAGCGGUGAAAUGCUUAGAUAUCACGAAGAACUCCGAUUGCGAAGGCAGCUCACUAAACUGCAACUGACACUGAUGCUCGAAAGUGUGGGUAUCAAACAGGAUUAGAUACCCUAGUAGUC